rnacentral:rRNA from 1 species
AGGACGAACGCUGGCGGCGUGCUUAACACAUGCAAGUCGAACGAGGUGCUUGCACCUAGUGGCGAACGGGUGAGUAACACGUGAGCAACCUGCCCUUGGCUCUGGGAUAGCCUCCGGAAACGGGGAUUAAUACCGGACAUGACCUUCUCCUGCAUGGGGGAGGGUGGAAAGUUUUUCGGCCAGGGAGGGGCUCGCGGCCUAUCAGCUUGUUGGAGGGGUAACGGCCCACCAAGGCGACGACGGGUAGCCGGCCUGAGAGGGCGACCGGCCACACUGGGACUGAGACACGGCCCAGACUCCUACGGGAGGCAGCAGUGGGGAAUAUUGCGCAAUGGGCGAAAGCCUGACGCAGCGACGCCGCGUGGGGGAUGAAGGCCUUCGGGUUGUAAACCCCUUUCAGCAGGGACGAAGCGAAAGUGACGGUACCUGCAGAAGAAGCGCCGGCUAACUACGUGCCAGCAGCCGC